rnacentral:rRNA from 1 species
AGAGUUUGAUUCUGGCUCAGGACGAACGCUGGCGGCAUGCCUAACACAUGCAAGUCGAACGGACAUAACCAAGUUAUAGCGAUAUAAUGCGGGUAUGUUAGUGGCGAACGGGUGAGUAACACGUGAGCAACCUGCCCUGUACAACGGGAUAACAGUUGGAAACGACUGCUAAUACGGUAUAAGACCACACUGCGGCAUCGCAGAGGGGUAAAAGUGAAUUAGCGGUACAGGAUGGGCUCGCGUCCAAUUAGCUAGUUGGUGAGGUAACGGCUCACAAAGGCGACGAUUGGUAGCCGACCUGAGAGGGUGAUCGGCCACACUGGAACUGAGACACGGUCCAGACUCCUACGGGAGGCAGCAGUGGGGAAUAUUGGGCAAUGGAGGAAACUCUUACCCAGCAAUGCCGCGUGAAGGAAGAAGGUCUUCGGAUUGUAAACUUCUUUUAUUGGGGACGAAUAAAUGACGGUACCCGAUGAAUAAGCCCCGGCUAACUAUGUGCCAGCCGCCGC